GGUGGGGUAGCUCAGUUGGUAGAGCAGGCGACCGAUAAUCGUCAGGUCGAAGGUUCAAACCCUUCCCCCACCA
rnacentral:tRNA from 1 species